AUGCCGAAAGUUAAAUUAAGUCACUCGCAUAGACUUGAAAUAGCGUCCCUCUACCGCCAAAAUUGGAAAAUAAGCGCCAUAGUCCGCUAUUUGUCAAAUCAACAUGGAAUAGAUGUAAACUGGAGUACAGUACGCAAUAUCAUCUUGAAGUACAAGUCAGGGGAUCUUUUCGCUGAUCCUAACUCCGAUUUCAUCAAGUUCCGUAAAGUUACUGACGGUGACAUUUCAACAGUUAGAUCAGCAUUAGCCGAAAAAUGUACAAUGACUGCAACUGAUGUUCGGCGUGAACUUGUUAGUAAAGGGUCAGAUUUGUCAAAAACAACUGUUCAAAGAAUAAUUCACGAAGCCGGGUACACCGCCAGUGCACCGCGUUAUUGUCAGAUGAUUCGUGAGGCAAAUAAAGUAAAACGGCUCACUUUCUGUCAACAGUUGAUAACAGACAAUGACAAUUUUGCAGACAUCAUAUUUACUGAUGAAUGCACCGUCCAGCUACAUGAUAAUAAAGUAGUAAUUUAUCGCCUGAGAGACCAAGUCGCACAACCAAUUCCACAACCAAAGCAUCCGUUUUAA
rnacentral:sRNA from 1 species